AACGAACGCUGGCGGCAUGCCUAACACAUGCCAGUCGAACGAAGCCUUCGGGCUUAGUGGCGCACGGGUGCGUAACGCGUGGGAAUCUGCCCCUUGCUUCGGAAUAACAGUUAGAAAUGACUGCUAAUACCGGAUGAAGUCUUCGGACCAAAGAUUUAUCGGCAAGGGAUGAGCCCGCGUAGGAUUAGGUAGUUGGUGGGGUAAAGGCCUACCAAGCCGACGAUCCUUAGCUGGUCUGAGAGGAUGAUCAGCCACACUGGGACUGAGACACGGCCCAGACUCCUACGGGAGGCAGCAGUGGGGAAUAUUGGACAAUGGACGCAAGUCUGAUCCAGCAAUGCCGCGUGAGUGAUGAAGGCCUUAGGGUUGUAAAGCUCUUUUACCAGGGAUGAUAAUGACAGUACCUGGAGAAUAAGCUCCGGCUAACUCCGUG
rnacentral:rRNA from 1 species